AACGAACGCUGGCGGCAUGCCUAACACAUGCAAGUCGAACGAGACCUUCGGGUCUAGUGGCGCACGGGUGCGUAACGCGUGGGAACCUGCCCUUAGGUUCGGAAUAACUCCCCGAAAGGGGUGCUAAUACCGGAUAAUGUCUUCGGACCAAAGAUUUAUCGCCUUUGGAUGGGCCCGCGUUGGAUUAGCUAGUUGGUAGGGUAAAAGCCUACCAAGGCGACGAUCCAUAGCUGGUCUGAGAGGAUGAUCAGCCACACUGGGACUGAGACACGGCCCAGACUCCUACGGGAGGCGGCAGGGGGGAAUAUUGGACAAUGGGCGAAAGCCUGAUCCAGCAAGGCCGCGUGAGUGAUGAAGGCCUUAGGGUUGUAAAGCUCUUUUACCCGGGAUGAUAAUGACAGUACCGGGAGAAUAAGCUCCGGCUAACUCCGG
rnacentral:rRNA from 1 species